rnacentral:lncRNA from 1 species
UUGGAUCAAUUUGUGGCCGUUUUGGAGCCAUUUGGGGCCAUUUUGGGGCCAUUUUGAGCCAUUUCAGGACAAUUUGGGGCCGUUUUGGGGGCAUUUGUUGCCAUAUGGGGCCAUUUGUUGCCAUUUUUGGGACCAUUUCAUGUCAUUUGUGGCCAUUUGGGGACCGUUUGGGCCAUUUGGUGCCAUAUUGAGCCAUUUUGGGUCUAUUUGGGGCGAUUUGGGGCUGUUUUGGGACCAUUUGUUGCCAUUUUGGGGUGGUUUGGGGCUGUUUUGGGGCCAUUUGUUGCUGUUUUGGGGGCAUUUGAGGCCAUUUGUUGCGAUAUAGGGCCGUUUGGGGUCCAUUAGGGUAAUUUGGGGCCGUUUGGGGUCCAUUUGUUGCAAUUUUGGGCCGUUUGGGGGCCGUUUUGGGUCCAUUUGUUGCGAUUUGGGGCCGUUUUGGGGCCAUUUGUUGCAACUUGGGGCCAUUUGGGGUCCAUUUGUGGCGAUUUGGGGCCGUUUUGGGUCCAUUUCUUGUGAUUUGGGGCCGUUUGGGGGCC